UGGCACUGCAUGGCUCAUCCUGGGUUGUCUGGGCUGGAAGGGAAAACAACCUCCAUCUGACUUUUACGAUGGCUUUUUUGCUAGAGCAACUUCACUCGCCAAUCAAUAGUCCUGAUUACCAUCUCUGGGCCACCUGCCUCUAAUCCCUGGGGCCGGGACAGAGAUGACAGACAUGUGGGACCAAUGGUGCAGACUAGAAGGACUGCGAAAUUCUAGAAUCCAGCAGAGUUCCAGAAGCCAGUACCCUUCUCUGACCUGCAGCCUGGCAACCAACCCCAUGCAUGUGGCUCCCCAGGCAGGCACCAUCCCCUGGCAUCUGACAGAACCCAUACUCUACCAGUUGGAGGUGCUGGGGUUGGACUGCCCCUCAACUGGUUCUAUUCUGGGGCACCACUUGCAGCCAAUUUGAUUACUCAGGAGUGACCAGAGGCCAUGAACUCUGGAGUCAGAACAUCUGGGUUCAAAUCCUUAGUCACAGUAUCACUAAGCUCCCCUUCGUCCGAGGGCAAGACCAGGAAAUCUGGAAGCUCCAACUAGGCACUGCACCUACUCUGCCUCUUCUAGUCUCUUAGGCCAGGGUUCCAUUCCUCCUCCAUCCAUGCCUGGGCAGGAUGAUGGCCCAGCUACCAACCCUCUCCCUCCUCCACGAAUAGGACAGUGACACACUGAGUACGACCCCCGCUCCCCACCCAGCACCUUCAUCUGUGGCACCGACUCCCCUGUGAGCAUGGCCUCGUCCACAAUGCAGCGGCCUCGCAGCAGCAGCACAUCACAUGGCACUAGGUUUUCCUGCGGGGAGCGGCCUGCAGGAAGGGGCAGGAGGGUUAGAGAGGAGCCAAGAGAAAGGGCUCCCACCAGGACAGAUCAGAAUUGUGCCUCACCGAUGGAGACGAUGUCUCCAGGAACAAUCUCAUCACUGGCAAUGGGCCUCCACUUUCGGCUGCGGUAGACCUGGGUAGAGGUAAGGUGCAGUCAGCUCUGGAUCCUACAGUGCGCAUGAUGCAGGCGCAUCCCUGGAGCUGAUCUCACCCUGUUCCCACUGCACACAAACACUGGGACUGGCAGCCCCCCACCCUGCCCCGGCCAAUCUCCCUGUUGGCCACACCUGGAUCAUGUGGGGCUUGUUGCCCAUCUUCCGGAUCUCAGACAUGUUCCGCAUCUGCUGCUGCACCAAGGAGGCCUCGAAGGCCACCAGCAUGGAGAGUGUGAAGACGCUGUAGUACCAGUACUCAUCCAGACACCAGAGCCCCACGCAAAACACCUGUAGGACACAGCCUGUGUGUCCACACCCCUGCCCGGCCAUCCAUGGGGGCACACGAAGACCCCUGUGGAGGCUGGGAAGGGACACCAAAGGUCAUUCUGCCCAUGGGCUCAGAUCCAUGAGGACACAAAGAGGAUUUCAGGUCUGGAAAUGGAGACUGCUGUGGAAAGCCCCAAGGGAUGAGGGAAGGUGGGAUGGGGAGAAGGGCUCAAGCUGCUGCUCUACCUGGAACACAAAGAAAGGUGCUGUGGCUCUCUCCUUGAACAACUCCGAGAAGUCAGGCACCACCAUCUCAGCCCUGCAAGAGACCAGACCCCACAUCCUGUUCAUAGUAUGAGACCUCAGAGGCCCCACCCUGACACCUUCACUCAGAGCAUUGCAGGCCUCCCCAGGGAAUGAGCCAGAAAGGACCCUCCACUCUACUACGGCUCUCCUUGUCCCCAAGGCACUGGGGCAGGCGUGCUAACUGUUGCCAGCUCUCUCCUCCGCAGAACCCAGGUAACUUUGCAUGAGCCAGGAGAUGUGAGAAGGGACAUCCCAGGCCACCACCAAGGGUGACCCCAAGCAGAAGAAACACAUGCCUGGGAUCAACGGGGAGGCUGGCUGGACCUCGGUGCCCAUGGCUCCAAACAUGCCAGUGUCAUCUGAGGCAGGCCCAGAGAACAGCAGUGCAGUCACCAGCAGUAACUGCUGAUCCAGCUGCUCUCCCUAUCCAGAUCCUGGGGGUUAAGGGUCAGAAGUGCUACCGUGCUGCUAUAUUCCAACAGAAGCCCUCAAUGUCACCACCCUCAUCUUGGACACAGGUCUAAAGAGACUCCGAAACAGUUAAGUCACUUGCCCACAAAUUGCUCCUGCUCCUCUUAAAUGCUACGAUCAAAGAACAUUUCAACCUAAUUUCGGUCCUAGUAUGCAAGGACCUUUACACACUGGACAACUGAGUUCUCAAAACAAGCUUCACAGAUACAGGAACACACCUCGAAGGCCUAGCCUCACAUUUUGAAAACCAAGAUAGGAGAUAGAAGGAGAACAUGACCGUUUCCAGGAGAAAGUACCUAGUACUCGCUACUAUGGUAGCUAGCAUUAACAAGCCAAAUCAAAGAGCGACAUAUGCUGGAGCCUACACUGAGCUUUUUAUAGGUAUUACCCUAUCGAAUCUAAAUGACCACACCAGGGAAGGAUUCCAAGGAAGGGAAGUAAUCUGCGCCAGGGUCGCACAAGUCAGUAGCGGGACCAGGAUUGGGCCACCCAGAGGACACCGCUGGGGACUCAGGCCCUGGAAACAGGAGGCCCGGGAUGGGGUGGGGAUCGACACGAACGUCGUGACUGUGACCCGCCGCAAGGCCCGACCGAGCCGAGGGUCGGGCUCGUGCCCGCGCACUUACCGGGGUGCAGGUGAGCGCGCAGUGCGCGUGCACGGACCAAUGCCCCGAGAGGACGGUGAGCGCGUGCGCGAGGCAGAUGGUGGCAAGCACAAGCAGCGCGGCUUCAGGGAUCUGCACCCAGCUGCUGCCCCAGCCCCAGCAGCCGGCGGCCGCGGCGCCCACCCAGGCCGGGUAGAGCAGUCCCGCGAACGGCAGCACCGUGAGGCGCCGCAGCAGCGCCAGUCGCCGGUACGGCCAUACGGCUGCGACCAGCUCAUCGCCGCUCGCUAUGAGCGCCGGGCCGGCAGCGA